AGGGGAGGAAGCCAAAGGAGGAGGCUAUGAGUGACUACCUCACCAAGGUUAAACAGCUGCUCGAGGCAGCUGCUAUUGUUGCUUAUGCUACUUUGUCACACCAUGCUCUAUGUAGUACCAUGGCGUCCUCGAUAUCGAAAUAAAGAUCAUGCAGGACUAUGAUCCUAAAAGAAAGCAGGGCACCAUGACUCCUUUGCCAGAUCAUGUUAUAAUUCAUGCCUCAAAGGAGGAAGAGGAGUUACAUUCCAAAAGAAUUUGAAUGCUACAACCUUUGCAAAAGGAAUUAGGAUUACAUUUCUUCUUCAUAAGCUUCCGGCAUGUAACAAGACAAAGUUCUUCUGAUUUAUGCACUUGAACUAGUCAUAGAUUAACAUGAAGGAAGAUUGGGAGUCCUUGGGCCCAUAUCUUAGUUUGUUCCAAUCUUCUCAGGAGUGUUAUUUGUUCUUAUCAUUUGUUUUGAAAACCGACGUGGUUACUCCCACAAAUUUUUACUAUUUUGUAGACUUGAUAUUAAUUAUUUGAAUUUGUAUGUAACUUCCAAAGCUGGAAUAGUAGACUCAGAUUGGUUGUUUAAAUUCAUUCAAAAUUCUGAAUAUGUAAUUUAGAUGUAAUUUGACAA